rnacentral:rRNA from 1 species
CCGCAACCCCUAUUGUUAGUUGCCAUCAUUCAGUUGGGCACUACUAGCGAGACUGCCGGUAAUAAACCGGAGGAAGGUGGGGAUGACGUCAAAUCAUCAUGGCCCCUUAUGACCUGGGCUACACACGUGCUACAAUGGUUGGUACAACGAGUUGCGAGUCGGUGACGGCGAGCUAAAUCUCUUAAAGCCAAUCUCAGUUCGGAUUGUAGGCUGCAACUCGCCUACAUGAAGUCGGAAUCGCUAGUAAUCGCGGAUCAGCACGCCGCGGUGAAUACGUUCCCGGGCCUU